GGGAGCCGGUGGAGCCUGAGAUGCUGAGAUGCUUCAGCGCAGUCCAUGCACAGGUGGUACCGAUUCUGCUGGUCUGAGAAUCAGGGCUCGGAAGAGGGCGAGGCGUUAAGAGUUUCGAAGAGGGAGCGGUUGCUCACAGUUGAGGCCUCUUGGAGGAGAGUUUGUUUCCUGGGUUACUGCACAGCCUCAGACAGCCAGCGCCCAUCUGCCACCAGCCUCCGAUUAGCACUGGAUGCCAAGUUCUGUGGGAGGUCAACUCCAGCCUGUCGAGAAAGCAGCCAAACCUUCCCUUCUCCUCUGCUGGACCUGUGAGAGCGGCUCUUGAUGAUUGAUGAAGCUGAGGAGCUGACAGGAGUCACUAUAGCCGGCUUCUUAAUUUUUUCUUGCUGACAAAUUCUGACAGUUUAUAACCUAUAGGAGAAGAAUAAAAUGAUACCUUGGGGAAGGAAGACAUAUCUUCCACACAGCUCUCUCGCUCUGAAAGAAUUCUGGAUAAGAUGAAAAUAAAGUUGUAUU